CCACUGAUAUGAGAGAGGACACAAGGAAGUGAGAGCAGUGAAGCAGAAAGAGAAGAAUUCUCCAGAAAACGCUGUGUCUUGCUACAGCCGAGAGAAGCUUAGACCAAACAUAGAUUCUAUAGGGACACUGAUUGUUUUUUAGCUCAGAUUGUAGAACUUGAAGCCUAUCAUGAUGGAAGUGGUCCUGACUAGACUGAGAGAUUUCUCCUCUUAGGACGCCACCUUUGAUGCCUGUAAGUCAGCCGGGCCCGUUGUGUCCAGGGACCCACGGACCACCAGAGACCCCUGCCUAGAGGAAGACCUCCAAAUGGAGGACUGCAUUCCCGGAGAAGAGGGCAGCUGACCCUACAAACUGGACAUUGAGAGUGCACUGGCCUGGCUGCACAGGGAACUGAUGGAGAUGCAAUCUCAGGAUCAGGCCUUGAUACAACAGCUGAUGGACCGCCAGGAAGAAGAAGAGGAGAAGGAGGAGUAGGAAGGAAAGGAAAAGGAGGAUGAGGAGACAAGAGGGAGAUAGGAGCUGGGACUUUGAGAGCGAGGCAGGGGGCAGUGGUAGUAGUGUUUACUCCAGAUCAGGGGAAGUGGGUUUUUCCAUAUCCUGCCUGUCCACUAGAAUGACACCAUCUCCUCUUGGGUCAUCUCUACCAAAAAGGACUUUCAGCAGAAGAAGCUCUGUGCCUUAAUAAAACUACAAAAGUAUUAUCUUCUGGACUGACCACAUAGUCAAUGUCAGGCCUAUACCACAAGAUCAUCUAUGCGCAUGAGAGAAUAAUUCAACGUCUGAGACCAAUGACAGACUGCAGAGUUGAAGUAAACUGUGUAAUUUUAAACUCUACCUAGAUGGAAGAAACAACAACAGCUGAUAUCACUGUACAAUGGUCAAAAAGGUAUCAUAGUACAUUUGAGAGAAUAACCAUUACUUAUGGGAGCAUAUUGCCUGUAAUGUCUCAACAAUUCAACAAUUUCAAUAUCAUGACUGCAUUCCAAUAAGGUCUAAUACUCUUCCAUAUUACUUGAAAUGGUCUGUUGUUAAUGAAAUACAGUAUUUUUAGAAGAUCAAAUUAAUAUGCAGUUUGUAUCAUCCACCCACAUGCUGUAUAUAUUGAUUUGUUGUACACUGUAAUUGCACACCGAUGUUUAUAGACUAAAACAUGAAUGUCAGUAACAUACAGUGUAUAUACUUACUAUAAUGAAUGACAACGCACCUUAGAUUGAGAUUAUGUGUCUGUGUUCAUUGAUGGCACACAGGUUAGCCUAUUGGAGUAAUAUCAAGUUGGCUGAUCCAGCAGAAUCAUACAAUACAAUGAAGGGUCAAGUAAAAUGUUUUUUUGAACAAAGGGCAUCAAAGUGAACAAGAUUAUGGAUAUAAUGUUUAACCUAUUAGUGAUCCCUUCGCUCGCCAAUCCCUUUAGCGGGAUCAAUUUGACAACAUCCAGUGAAUUUGAAGAACUCCAAAUUCAAACGACAGAAAUAUCAAUAUUCAAGAUAACCGAAAAUAUAAGUGUAAUACAUCAAAAUAAAGCUUACCUUCUUGUUAAUCCAGCCGCAAGGUCAGAUUUCAAAAAGGCUUUACGGCGAAAGCAGACCAUGCGAUUAUCUGAGGACAAAUACAUGAAAAUAAUUUUCAACCAGGUAGGUGGUGACACAAAAGUCAGAAAUAACAAUAUAAUAAAUGCCUUACCUUUGAAGAUCUUCUUCUGUUGGCACUCCAGAAUGUCUCAGAAACGUCACAAAUGGUCCUUUUGUUCGAUAAUGUCCUUCUUUAUAUCCCCAAAAUGUCCAUUUAUUUGGCGCGUUUGAUUCAGAAAUACACCGGUUCCAACUCGCCCAACAUGACUACAAAGUAUCUAAUAAGUUACCUGUUAACUUGGUCCAAACAGUUAAAUUAACUCUGCAAGUGUUAAAUUAACACCCAUUGGUGUACAAGUGUUGGUGUUAAUAUCCAGCAUUAAAGCAAAGCCACGCCCAUCCUUAUCAUAUUUCCCAGCAUACUCCAUUGCAGGUAUGUUUCAAUAUCUAUGUUUUUUUAUUGAUUAAUCAAUCUUAAGCUACUCAAAUAUAAAUUACAUACAUUUUUCUAAACUAAUCCAAUCUAUUACUUAUUGCACCCAUUACUAAAAUGUUUUUUUUUUUUACAGUUUAGAUGCUUUAGGUGGUCUCAUAUCUUAGGGUGUUUUCACACAUAGGUUAGUUCGAAUCAGAGUUUGAUUAUUUGUUACAUUGUAUUUUUUUUAUUUGGUCCGCUAGGUUUCAGAUUGCCAAAUGUCAAAUGAACUGAAAUUCAUCAACAAAACUACCCCCUGGGCACAGACCUAAAUUCAACAUCUAUUCCACAUUGGUUCAAUGUGGCACAUGUCCUCACAAGUCAUUUGUUUGUUUUACAAAAAUGCUUACGUUAAAUCCAUCUAUGAUUAUCA